UUUAUCGUUAGUAGUCAUCUAAACCUCAUUAACGUUUUGCGACACAUUAUAUCAUUACUCUGUUGUUGCUUUUUUCAUCACAUUUACUUGAGUUCACACUCACUGUUUGCUGUUUGCCCAAUCAUACCAAUAACAAUGAAGACGAUACUUUUCCUUGUGUUCCUUGCGUUCUGCGCUGUUGUCACUUGGGGGUCCGAAAUUCAAGACGCUGCCUCUAGCGCAAGAAAUGUUCGCGCUACAAUUACCAAUAACAAUGGAGGGUGUGGCGGCCUCGCAACAUUUGCGUCCUGGUUUGGUACUGCACUUUCCCUUGCUUGCGUUAUACUCUAUCAGAAAUUUUGGGAUUUCAUUUGAUUAGUCAUUGCAAGACCUGAUUAAUCAUUCAUUUUCAUGUCCUCCAUGCAGGCUUGGCCAACUGCCCUCAGAACAACAAUAAUUAAAGUAAACCAAAAUUCAAAAUUUCUGUUUAUCAAUAAGGUUUAAAAUUUAUAGUAUUAAUGUGAGCUAAAUAUAUUCAACAAAAUUAUUGCGAUCUGUGUGUAACAAAAAGCCAAAAUAAAUUAUAAUCAUUAUCAAAUCAUGA